rnacentral:rRNA from 1 species
GUCGGAGGAAGGUGGGGAUGACGUCAAAUCAUCAUCGCCCCUUUAUGACCUGGGCUACACACGUGCUACAAUGGGCGGUAACGAAAGGGUCGCGAACCCGCGAGGGGGAGCCAAUCCCAAAAAGCCGCUCUCAGUUCGGAUUGCAGGCUGCAACUCGCCUGCAUGAAGCCGGAAUCGCUAGUAAUCGCGGAUCAGCAUGCCGCGGUGAAUACGUUCCCGGGCCUU